AUUGAACGCUGGUGGCAGGCCUAACGCAUGCAAGUCGAGCGGAUGACGGGAGCUUGCUCCUUGAUUCAGUGGCGGACGGGUGAGUAAUGCCUAGGAAUCUGCCUGGUAGUGGGGGACAACGUUUCGAAAGGAACGCUAAUACCGCAUACGUCCUACGGGAGAAAGCAGGGGACCUCCGGGCCUUGCGCUAUCAGAUGAGCCUAGGUCGGAUUAGCUAGUAGGUGAGGUAAUGGCUCACCUAGGCGACGAUCCGUAACUGGUCUGAGAGGAUGAUCAGUCACACUGGAACUGAGACACGGUCCAGACUCCUACGGGAGGCAGCAGUGGGGAAUAUUGGACAAUGGGCGAAAGCCUGAUCCAGCCAUGCCGCGUGUGUGAAGAAGGUCUUCGGAUUGUAAAGCACUUUAAGUUGGGAGGAAGGGUUGUACGUUAAUACCGUGCAAUUUUGACGUUACCGACAGAAUAAGCACCGGCUAACUCUGUGCCAGCAGCCGCCGUAA
rnacentral:rRNA from 1 species